rnacentral:rRNA from 1 species
AUUGAACGCUGGCGGCAUGCUUUACACAUGCAAGUCGAACGGCAGCGCGGGCUUCGGCCUGGCGGCGAGUGGCGAACGGGUGAGUAAUACAUCGGAACGUGCCCAGUAGUGGGGGAUAGCUCGGCGAAAGCCGGAUUAAUACCGCAUACGACCUGAGGGUGAAAGCGGGGGAUCUUCGGACCUCGCGCUAUUGGAGCGGCCGAUGGCAGAUUAGCCAGUUGGUGGGGUAAAGGCCUACCAAGGCGACGAUCUGUAGCUGGUCUGAGAGGACGACCAGCCACACUGGGACUGAGACACGGCCCAGACUCCUACGGGAGGCAGCAGUGGGGAAUUUUGGACAAAGGGCGAAAGCCUGAUCCAGCAAUGCCGCGUGUGUGAUGAAGGCCUUCGGGUUGUAAAGCACUUUUGGCGGGAACGAAAAGGACUGUGCCAAUACCACGGUUCGAUGACGGUACCCGCAGAAUAAGCACCGGCUAACUACGUG